rnacentral:rRNA from 1 species
UUUUUGCAUCUCCAAAACGGAGGAAAAGAAACCAACAGGGAUUACCUCAGUAACGGCGAGUGAAGCGGUAACAGCUCAAAUUUGAAAUCUGGCCUCACGGUCCGAGUUGUAAUUUGUAGAGGAUGCUUCGAGCAUGGUCUGGCCUAAGUUCCUUGGAACAGGACGUCAUAGAGGGUGAGAAUCCCGUAUGCGGCCAGGUGCCUACGCUCAUGUGAAGCUCCUUCGACGAGUCGAGUUGUUUGGGAAUGCAGCUCAAAAUGGGUGGUAAAUUUCAUCUAAAGCUAAAUAUUGGCCAGAGACCGAUAGCGCACAAGUAGAGUGAUCGAAAGAUGAAAAGCACUUUGGAAAGAGAGUUAAACAGUACGUGAAAUUGUUGAAAGGGAAGCGCUUGCAACCAGACUUGCGCGCGGCCGAUCAUCCGGUGUUCUCACCGGUGCACUCGGCCGUGCUCAGGCCAGCAUCGGUUUUGGCGGCUGGAUAAAGGCCCUAGGAAUGUAGCUCCUCUCGGGGAGUGUUAUAGCCUAGGGUGCAAUGCAGCCUGCUGGGACCGAGGACCGCGCUCGGCUAGGUGGCAGCGUAACGGAGAAAAG